rnacentral:rRNA from 1 species
GGUCUUUUUAUUUAAAGCAGAUGAUGGAUGCCUUGGGGCAAAGAGCCGAUGAAGGACGUGUGAGCCUGCGUUAAGCCUCGGUGAGCUGGCAAAAAGCGUUACCAGCCGGGGAUUUCCGAAUGGGGAAACCCAGCCGCCUUUGGCGGCAGCACUUAAGCCAAAUUCCUGCCUUUCGGCGGGAUAUUAACUUAACGUGAGGGAACUCAGCGAAGUGAAACAUCUUAGUAGCUGGAGGAAUAGAAAGAGAAUGCGCGCAAGCGCAAUCCUCUUAGGCGGAUACGUAAGUGUCUUCCUGGGAGGAUUAUCGAUCCCCUAAGUAGCGGCGAGCGAAAGGGGGACAGCCCAAACCCUAUCUUCGGAUAGGGGGUUGUAGGACCGGCAUAAAGGAAAACAAGGAUAGAAGAACGCUCUGGAAAGAGCGGCCAUAGAGGGUGAUAGCCCCGUAAUUGAAAUUCGAGUUUUCCCGGCUGGUAUCCUGAGUACCACGGAAUAGGUGAAAGUCUGUGGGAAUCCGGCCAAACCACUGGCCAAGGCUAAAUACUCUUUGCCACCGAUAGUGAACUAGUACCGUGAGGGAAAGGUGAAAA